rnacentral:rRNA from 1 species
AGCGAACGCUGGCGGCAGGCUUAACACAUGCAAGUCGAGCGGGCAUAGCAAUAUGUCAGCGGCAGACGGGUGAGUAACGCGUGGGAACGUACCUUUUGGUUCGGAACAACUGAGGGAAACUCCAGCUAAUACCGGAUAAGCCCUUACGGGGAAGGAUUUAUCGCCGAAAGAUCGGCCCGCGUCUGAUUAGCUAGUUGGUGAGGUAAUGGCUCACCAAGGCGACGAUCAGUAGCUGGUCUGAGAGGAUGAUCAGCCACAUUGGGACUGAGACACGGCCCAAACUCCUACGGGAGGCAGCAGUGGGGAAUAUUGGACAAUGGGCGCAAGCCUGAUCCAGCCAUGCCGCGUGAGUGAUGAAGGCCCUAGGGUUGUAAAGCUCUUUUGUGCGGGAAGAUAAUGACGGUACCGCAAGAAUAAGCCCCGGCUAACUUCGUGCCAGCCGCCGCGGUAA